GGGCCCCGCACAAGCGGUGGAGCAUGUGGUUCAAUUCGAUGCAAACCGAAGAACCUUACCCGGGUUUGACAUGCUGGUGGUACUGACCCGAAGGGAAGGGACCCAGGGCCUUCGGGCGCUUGGGAACCAGCACAGGUGGUGCAUGGUUGUCGUCAGCUCGUGUCGUGAGAUGUUGGGUUAAGUCCCGCAACGAGCGCAACCCUUAUUGCUAGUUACCAUCAUUAAGUUGGGGACUCUAGCGAGACUGCCAGUGAUAAACUGGAGGAAGUGGGGAUGACGUCAAAUCAUCAUGCCCCUUAUGACCUGGGCUACAAACGUGAUACAAUGGCUGAAACAAAGGGCAGCGAAGCAGUGAUGUGAAGCGAAACCCAAAAAAGCAGUCUCAGUUCGGAUUGAAGUCUGCAACUCGACUUCAUGAAGUCGGAAUCGCUAGUAAUCGCGAAUCAGAACGUCGCGGUGAAUACGUUCUCGGGGUUU
rnacentral:rRNA from 1 species